GAUGAGCAUGCGUCCCAUUAGCUAGUUGGUAAGGUAACGGCUUACCAAGGCAACGAUGGGUAGGGGUCCUGAGAGGGAGAUCCCCCACACUGGUACUGAGACACGGACCAGACUCCUACGGGAGGCAGCAGUGAGGAAUAUUGGUCAAUGGGCGCAAGCCUGAACCAGCUAUGCCGCGUGCAGGAUGAAGCAUCUAUGGUGUGUAAACUGCUUUUGUACGAGAAGAAACACUCCUUCGUGAAGGAGCUUGACGGUAUCGUAAGAAUAAGGACCGGCUAACUCCGUGCCAGCAGCCGCGGUAAUACGGAGGGUCCAAGCGUUAUCCGGAAUCAUUGGGUUUAAAGGGUCCGUAGGCGGUUUUGUAAGUCAGUGGUGAAAGCCCAUCGCUCAACGGUGGAACGGCCAUUGAUACUGCAAGACUUGAAUUAUUAGGAAGUAACUAGAAUAUGUAGUGUAGCGGUGAAAUGCUUAGAGAUUACAUGGAAUACCAAUUGCGAAGGCAGGUUACUACUAAUGGAUUGACGCUGAUGGACGAAAGCGUGGGGAGCGAACAGGAUUAGAUACCCUGGUAGU
rnacentral:rRNA from 1 species